CAUCGAUCCAAAUGGGGAACAGGUGAAUUGGAAGUGUUUUUUUGUUGUUUUUUUAGGGUUUUCUUUUUUGAGCUAAUAGUAGGAAUUUGUAAAGUGAUAACAAAGAGACAACGUCCUACUGCGUUCUGUGUUUCAGGAAAACAGUGAUGGUCUUUAUUUGGAGACAUUAGAGGCGUGCCCUCUGACCUCUCCUAGAACAAUGAGGAUGUCUUACCCUUCAAAGGCAGUCGUCACGUCUCCCCCCAUUUCCAUGUAAAAGACCCUCACUCGUAAUAACCGCCCAGCAUGAGCUGUGCUAUGUCUGCAGAACUUCAUGCUCCACAUUAUGAUGAACAUUCCUGCUGCUAAAAAUGCAAUAAAAGUCAACAUACUCCCAUUUUUUUCUGCAGAAUGAAGCCUCCACUUCCCAGACCCAAGCCUAACUCCUUCCUGCCCUCAUUGGCUGAAUCAAAAAGAGGUCAGAGUCACAUUUUUGGAACAUUUUAACAAACCAUAUCUACAGAAAAUUAAUGCGUUAUUAAAGAUAAAAGAUAAGUUGUGUCUGUGUAGAUCCUUCAGUUCACAUCAAGCUCCCAACUCCGAUCCCCAGGACGUCUCGAUUAGCCAACCUAAAGGAAGCUUCCCAGAGGUACGUGUAUCUAAAGAUCAAUUCUAACUUUCAAAAGGGUAAAUCUGAAGUAUUUUAUAUUUAUGUUCAGUUUG
rnacentral:lncRNA from 1 species